GAUGAACGCUGACAGAAUGCUUAACACAUGCAAGUCUUUGGCGAAGCUGUGCUUGCACAGCCUAGCCAAGGCGGACGGGUGAGUAACGCGUAAGGAACUUGCCCUGCAGUCAGGGAUAACAGACGGAAACGACUGAUAAGACCUGGUAAAGUCAGGCGGACUCAUGUCCAGCCUGAUGAAAAGAGAUGCUGCAGGAGAGCCUUGCGUCCUAUUAGCUUGUUGGUGGGGUAACGGCCCACCAAGGCGAUGAUAGGUAGCCGGCCUGCGAGGGUGGACGGCCACAAGGGGACUGAGAUACGGCCCUUACGCCUACGGGAGGCAGCAGUGGGGAAUAUUGGACAAUGGGGGCAACCGUGAUCAAGCAAUUCUGUGUGCACGAUGAAGGUUUUCGGAUUGUAAAGUGCUUUCAGCAGGGAAGAAAAAAAUGACGGUACCUGCAGAAGAAGCGACGGCUAAAUACGUG
rnacentral:rRNA from 1 species